CAGCACACAAAAUGAUGGAUUGCUGGAGAAGCUUCCUCUUCCCACACUAUGCUUCAGCCAUCCCUGUGUGUACCUCAAAGAGUGUCUCUCCCUACACUCCUGCAUGGUAGACAGAGGCUGUUUUUAACCUGAAGGCAGGGGCUUGGAAGGUUCACCGCUGUCCUGGUCCAGCCUCAGUCUUAGGCCAGAAUAUUGGAGUGGGUAGCCAUUCCCUUCUCCAAGGGAUCUUCCCAACCCAGGGAUUGAACCCAGGUCUCCUGCAUUACAGGUAGAUUUACCAGCUGAGCCACAAGGGAAUCCCCAGCAAUAUGAGAGGCUCAGCUAAAUCUAUUCACAAGGGGACACCAACACAGCGGUCAGACGAAGACCUACUUUCUAGAAGUUCUGAAAGCCCAUCUCAUUACCUAUUUUGGGACUCAAGAGUAUAAAGCAAUAGUCCUCAGUGUGUCUGUUUUGGAAAGACCAUUCCUGUCUUUCCAAUAAUAACAAUGAUAUUUCAUUCUCUAUCUUUCUGACUCUUUUGCCUAUUUACAUAAAUUUAUUCAAAACUCAAAAAAAGGAAAAGAAGAGUACUAUUUAAUGUCCCCCCUAAAAUGUUAUCAGUCUUAUUGCCUAGUUUUUCUGCUUCUAGAUAUGUGGACUUUCCUUUCAUGAAUUCAUGUUACAUUGAGGUUUAAAGGCGGCUUUGAUUUCUACUAGGGAUUGAUAACUACCAAUGCCUCUAUUUAUAUUUCAAAACAAAUAGUUAUUCACUUACUUCACUGCCUGAUAGGUUAUGUGUUCAUUAUAAAUCAUUAGUGACCAUUAAAAAUUGCAGUUCUUUUCAUUCCCUAAGACUCUGCUUGAACUUCACAAAUCAUAUGACAAGCUCUGUCAACACCUUCAAAGAGAAGCACCAACACCACUCUGAUGAUGUCAAUAAGAAUAAGCAGAAUAACUGGACCAGGACUGGAUGGAGCUUGACUCUACAGGCUGGACAGGAAGUGGAGCAACUUGUGACUAGCAGAGACUACUUCACUGAAGUGGGCAGAACCAAGGGAGCUGACCCAGCAAUCAACAGUGACCACCUCCAGGAGGCUGGUAGUUGUUGAACAAGUAAAUUCUUCUUUUGAAACUUGUAUUAUGAUCAAGUGAGACUAAGACUGAAAAGAUGUCAAUUCAGAGGGAACAAAACAAACAGAUAGGAAUUCACCCCAGUGAGGUGAAGUUGGGUCUUGCCAUAAGACCUCCAAACCAACCUACAAUCCAUUAAAUAUACGAUUUUGCUUAAGGAAGUUUUGGCUGGUUUUCCCCAUCUUGUGAUUGAAUGAAUAUUAACUAUAGUACAGAAGGCCUACUUACACUUUUCAGUUUUAUUUUGCGCAGAAGGUAAGUGCUGUAAUGGCAUAUCAUUCAGCUUGAAGCAGGAAAAUAAAAAAUGCUGCUAAAUAUUGAAAACAGAGGAAACUUAAUACAGGGGAUUGGUUCCUCAGGUCAUGAAAGAGCUGAAAGACAAACAGAGAGGGAUGGUGAGACAGCUUGAUGAUUAGCAGCAGGGGGCCUGGAGGAGAAGGGUUACUGAAGCCCAACGGCCAGCAUUACCUGGAGGAAAGUGAAACCACUGAGAAUGAGAGCCAUGGAAGAGACUCAGACAAUGAGACAGCCAUUGCCUGAAUCAGAGAGGAGGGUAGAUAUACCCUGGCUUUUCCCCCUUUAUGCUCCCUCUGAUCUCUUGUCAGUACCUCUCCUUCACCAAACCCAAGUGGAAAUCAGCGGACACAGAGCCUGGGAAGCACAGCCUGCAGGGACUGCUCCUCCCCGAGCCCCGCAUCCCGCAUCCGGUGAUACUCAGCGAAGCGAGAAUGCAUCUGAAUGCAAAUGAGGGCCAGCACCAACAAUAUUUGCAAAUCAGCACGUACCUUAUCUCAAAGUGUCAAAUGCUUCUAACCAGAAGUCUGUGCUCCCCACUACCAUUCUUUUCCUCACUUCUCCCUCCCAAACCAUAAGGAAUAGAGAAAAUGGAUACUAUCUCGUUAAAAGUAUUCCAAGUAAUUCAGAUUAUGUUUUUGUUGCUCUUCCUGCUCUCACCUCCCACCCCCUUACCUGGAGGCACUAUUCUACUUCAUGUCAAAAUUCAAAAUUUGAGCAAUGGUGUGCUUAAAUGCUGAUAUCCUUGACGGUUUUUCCUUCUUUUCUACUUUAAAAUAGGAGAAAACAAAAACCUUAACAAAGAACAAAUCGAAGGAAAUGGUUUUCUACAUUAGGGAUCCCAAGACCACAGAACCAAUACUACUGCUUAAUUAUAUCAAAGUGUUAUACCAGAGUUUGUAACAGAGGAAACAAAAUGUAAGGAAAACGUCAUGACUUUAUGUAGCACUUCAAAACAAACAUAUUGUAAAGUGUGGUUUUAAGAUAUAAAUUGAUUUGUACCUUUCAGGAGGGAAAAAAAAGACACUCCCUGACCUCCCAAGUACGUAACUAGAAACCUUGGCACCAUCUAUAAUGAUUUGGCCCCAAUCCUAUCUGUAAUAGGAAAACUAGAGGCACCAGAACCUGGGUCUGAAACUAGGGGAUAAUUAGUUCCAUCCAUUAGUGAACAUUUUAUGAGUUCAGUAAAUGAGGAGUGUCUGGUUGAGUGCUUAGGAGGAAAAGGGGAAUUUGGCACCAUAAAGUCAUAAUAUACUAUUUAUUAGGAACUUUCUCAGGAAUCUAAAGGUCACCUGCCUCCCAGUCCCAAAGAAAUACAACCCUGCAGAAACUUCCCUGGCCAUUUACAACCUGCCUGGCUAAGCCUUCCCCCGGGGCCUGAAGGACUGACCUAUCUGUGCUCAGGCAGACACACUAUCCUGAGGCCUGCUCUAACUCCUCAUAUCCAGCCUCCUCUGUCCUAUACGGGCUACGAGGCUAACAUACUGCCCAUGCAUGCACCCAAGCUGCAGUUGUCAGACUGAGCCCCUGUUCCCUGUUCCAGGAGGUGGUAUUUGGGUAGAUAAUUAAAAAGUGAAUAAUGAGGUUCUUCACAUAACCAUGAGAAAGUCACCUCCAUGAGAAUUCAGAAACCUAAAGUCCAGUGUGAUGAGAUAUGAUCACAAAUGGGGUGGGAUUCAGCUAUUAUGUGGUUCUGACAAAUCUUUUCAAUAACGCCUUUUCUAUCAACUUGGAAAUAGUUCUCUAAGAUGCCCAAUUCUGAUGUCAGCUAGUCUUCAGGGAAUGCAAGCGAUUUCACAGUGCACCAAGGACCACCUAGUGGGCAGCUAAAACUAUCCUGAAGAUCCUUAUUUAGUUACUCAUUUAUUCCUUUGACAUUGCCUUUCCUUCCUUUCCAUGUAUUUAUCCAUCUGUCUAUUCAUUCAUCUAUUCCUUUGGCAUUGCCUUUCUUUCCUCUCCACCUUUAUAUCAUAACAGGUUUGAACCACAGAUGAACAAAAUGAAAAAGUAUUUUCCAGAUUAACAAAGUUCUCUCCCCAUAGGAUGUUAUCUUCCACGGGGUGUUUGGUGCUUUUGAAUCAUGAUAAAAUUCUCUUGCCAAUUGAAAAGUUACUUAUAACCUAAUCACUUGUCU